CGGGGCGUGGCGCAGACCGGUAGCGCACCUGCAUGGGGUGUAGGGGGUCGAAGGUUCAAAUCCUUUCGCCCCGACCA
rnacentral:tRNA from 1 species